ACUGUCUGGGGCGCCAGCUACGCCGCUGCCGCUGUCACUAUGGCCCAUCACAAAGCCGCCGACUCGAAGCGUGAGCAGUUCCGGAGAUACUUAGAGAAGUCCGGGGUGCUGGACACGCUGACCAAAGUGUUGGUAGCUUAUACGAAGAACCAGAGAAACCUAAUAGUGCUUUGGAUUUUUUAAAGCAUCACUUAGGAGCUGCUACCCCAGAAAAUCCAGAAAUAGAACUGCUACGUCUAGAAUUGGCAGAAAUGAAAGAGAAAUAUGAAGCUAUUGUAGAAGAAAAUAAAAAACUGAAAGCAAAGCUUGCUCAGUAUGAACCACCUCAGGAGGAGAAGCAUGCUGAAUAAGAUUCUUCUCAGUUGAAAAGACACUGAAAAAUGGUUUUGUAUGACUUGAAUAGUUUGUAUAGUAUAUAAUCUUUUCUGAAAAGAUGCUAUAGAACUCUUUUAAUAUGUUAAAUUCACCUAUCACACUCUGUUAUCAACACAUAUACUUAGAAUCACCAAUAAAAACUCACUAUGACUUU